UUUCCGUAGGUGAACCUGCGGAAGGAUCAUUAAUGAGAACGUGCCCUUCGGGGUAGAUCUCCCACCCUGUAUUUACACUACCUUUGUUGCUUUGGCAGGCCCGCCCUCGGGCCGCCGGCUCCGGCUGGCCAGCGUCUGCCAGAGGAUUCAAAACUCUGAAUGUCAGUGUCGUCUGAGUACUAUAUAAUAGUUAAAACUUUCAACAACGGAUCUCUUGGUUCUG
rnacentral:misc_RNA from 1 species